rnacentral:lncRNA from 1 species
GCAAAAGAAAAGGCACAAUUAGCAUUUUAAUAUAGAAAUAUCUUAGGCUUUAGGAGAAUUAUGAUAAAUCUAAUGUUGCCUGGCGAACCAAAGAGGGGAUAUUACAACAAACUGUCUCCUUAGGAAUAUUUGUUUAAAUAAAAGCAACAAUACUUCAUCCUUAUCUCUUUUGGAUAAUGAUCACCAUUUCAGGCUGUUCUUAGUUCCAGCUUUAAAAUACCUUUAGGUUUGUUUUGUUUAGGUUUCUUUUGUUUUGUUUUGUUUUUUGUUUUUGUUUUUGUUUUUGUUUUUUUUUUUCGGGUUUUUCCAGAGGAAACUGUUUGCUUGGCACUACCAGGAUAAUUGUGUUGGGAGAGUACCUGCUUUUCAGCUUGUGCUUGUUCUUGCCGUGGCCUCUCUGACUCGGAUGUGGUAAGGUUAUGUCAGUCACAGCAUAGUAAACUAACUCCUCUGCCAUGGCUGGCGCUCUCCCACCUGCUCCCCUAAACACCUGCAACAUAUGUUUGUCUAACCCUGGAAUGCUUUGCCUUUAGGGUCCUGGAAAACUCCCCUCGAGCCUUCUGCUUAUAAACAGCUGAGCGAUUCAUUUUUUUAAUGACGGUUGCCUUUUCCCUAACGUUGGAGCAGUGAUAAGCUCACUAAAAUUAAGGUGUUGUUCAUCAAAGAAAAACAUUGCACAUAGUUUUGCAGCGCUGACUCCCCUUCCGAGCCGUAUUUUCCCCCUUCACUAACCUGGCUUACUAAUAAACAUUGAAGAUUGGUAACAAGAUAUUAGAAAAGGAAAAUUGAGUAAUUCACUUGCCAAGUAUUUUCUUCAUGCCAGACACAACUUAUCUUACAAACAUAAAAUUCUUUAUUUGUUGAUUAUUAUAGGAACUAUUUCAGUUUGAUUUUUUUUUAAAGUCAUGGCCAAUAAAUUAUAAAAUGGCAAUACUUUGGACAUAUGGUAGGCAGCCACUAUGGUUAUUAAAAUCUCAUAAGUUAACAAAAUAGUGAAUAGUAUGAUUUUAUAUCAUUUUUAAAACUUAUAAAUAUAUGUUCUCCUAUCCAAUAAUAAAGACAUCCUUUUUCCUCUACAUACAAAAUCUAUUAUGCUUGCUACAUCUUCUUAGUGUGUGUGUAUAAAUGCUGCCUGAGCUUGUGUGUGUGUGUGUGUGUGUGUGUGUGUGUGUGUGUGUGUGUGUGUGUGUAAAAUGUUCCACAGGACCUCCUGUAAGCUUAUAUGUGAUUAUUAGAAGUAUAAUAAUCACUACCUUCCAAGUGUCACAGAUUUUAGGUUGUCAUACUACCAUAUCUGCUUUCUAGGUCAAAGUCUUUUAGCUAUGUCGGUGCCCAGUGGUAUCACAGGUUAUUAUAGCCUCUGACUCACUGAAAUGUUAUCAAGUACCUACCUUAUUUUCAUUAUGUUGUUGAGUCUCUGCUGUAGUUUCACAAGUGGUGAAACUAGACCAAGGAUGUGACUAACUCAUCAGCUGCUAAGGAGUAGACAGGGGUCUGAGUCCAUGCCUCACUGUUGCAUGCCCUCCAGUGUUUCUGUCCACAGUGUGGACCUGAAAGUAGACAUACCUCCUGGUACAAAGGACUUAAAGACCAGUGUCCCUGAAAUUGGUCUUUUGUUCUUCUCAUGUGUCUAUGUAAUGGUCCUCUGAAACAUUUGCUGCAGUUCAAAAGUAAAUGAGUAUUUCAGCCUUUCCUUCUGGACUUUCAAAAAUGAUUUAGAAAGAGAUAGUCAUCUUCAGAUGAAGGGUAAGAAGAGGACAUCAGAGCAGACAGUACUAUCCAUUGUGACCCUUUCUUGCAUGAAUUUGUUAUUUAUCAGGCUCAGAACAAGAAACAUUGUGUAGUAUCUGGUAUUUGUAUUUUCUUCUUGUAGUAUCUUGUCCUUAGUUACUCUUCAUAUGGAUUAGUAUUCAAGUAUUUCUAUAUGAUCAUAAAAAGUUAAGUUUAAACUAAAAGUAUUGAAAUGUUGCUGUUGCAGGUAGAAUAGGUAAGAAGGGAGGAGCGGUACAUACCACAAACAGAUCAGGCCUACUUAAGUCACCACAAGAUGGCUGGCUGCUCAGCAUGCAAAAGCUUAUUUUCCAAGACCAUUCCCUCAGUGGGAUUUAUGUAACUAUCUCUCCUAGUGAAGACCUGGAAAGGGAAGAAAGCUAGCUGUAACUGGUAGAUGAUUUUGUCUUUUAAAUUGAUUUUAUAACUAAGCCGGUGUGGAAGUGGUUUUGGGAUCUUGUGGAAAUAACAAAAGCAUGUUGGGAAGGCAGUAGCCACUGCAUGGUUCAGGUUGACUUAAUAUACUUUGGUUUGAAGAUAAUUCUGUAGUCCGAACACUGGACUGUGAAAAUGGCUUUAAUGACAUGCAUAGUAUUAGAGGUCUACCAUGAGAAAUUGCAGAUCUCAUGGGGUCUGGUCUUCCUCAUAUACAAUUUUAUGUUAGUAAAAGUCUAGUGCCUCAUAUUGUAGAGAAAAAUUACACAUCUUAAAGAUUAUAAAGAAGAACUAUUAUGUUUUUAUACAUUAUAUUUGAAAGAAAUUCUUCAAAAUAGGGAAAGUAUCUCUUUAAUUUUAAGUUAGAACUCUGCUCAUUCCUACUUUAUCCCACUGAGGAAAGGAAUUUUUUUUUAAUGUUGGAACAUGGUCUUACACAUGUGUGUGUAUAAAUUCAUGCUUGAUAAUGAUUGGGAUCAAUUACUUAGUUUUGAUUCUGAUUUUGGCGCAUUUUGAUGGGUAUUGAAGUAUUUAUUGUGUGAUAGCCCUUUUUUACAUUACAUGAAGACUUUUCCUGCUUCAAUCUCCUCCCAUGUUCUCUCCUUCCACUCUUUCAAAUCUAUGGCCUCAGUUCUCUACCUCAGUGGUUCUCAGGCUGUGGGGUGAGAUCCUUUGGCGUCACAUAUCAGAUAUUGACAUUGCUAUUCCUAACAGUAGUAAAAUACUAUGGACCAAAAUAAGAUUUUGGUUGGGGGGGGGGGGGGAGUCACAACAUGAGGAACUGUAAUAAAGUGUUGAAACAUUAGGAAGGUUAUGAACCACUGCUUUAAUUGGUGUGUGCAAGCACGUGUGUGUGUGUGUGUGUGUGUGUGUGUGUGUGUGUGUGUGUACAUUUGUGUCUUAGAUAAGUUUUACUUUUGUGACCCACAUUAUAUUUUUCAUGGUGCUUGUGCAGAUCAUAUGUGUGCACAUUUCUGUUUUAAUGGUGCACUGUCUUAACAAGAGACUUUUCCUUUCACAGAACUGAACACUGAGUCCCUUUUUAUUUUCUUGCUUUUUCAGUAGUUAUUCAAUAUCAAAUUCUUUUUGUUUUGGUUUGUAUUUUUACUUUUUGUGUUGUUUCAGUACUGCAAGACUUUAACUAUCUCCCUUUGAUUCUAGCAGGUCUCUUAGGAAUUUAAAUAGGUCUCAGUGAAGGCAAUAUUGAGUCCAUUCAUGUGUUCAAGUCACAUCAUUGUUCCUAAUAAUGGCUUUAAGUGCCUAGAUAGAUCAGCACUUCAUGUCUUGAAUUGCUUGUCAUUUCUUUGUAAAGAUGUCUCAGGGACCAUUCCCUGGGACUGCUCUUUUAAUAUUUUCUAACAAAAGUAGCAUGAUACUUUAUUAGUUUGUUGAAAGUCAGAAAAGAAACCUCUUUUAUAUUUGCAAAAACAAAAUGCUUUUCCAGGUUCAGAGAAUAAAGAGCAGAAUCAGUCAUGAAUCGUAGUUUUGUAGGAGGUAAUUUUUAAAAUAGAUGAUGAGCAGACUCUGACCUGGAAUGUAUUCUGCCAGUGGCUUUAACCUCUAUUUUAUUUUUCCAGUAUACUUGGGUCUAGGUUGUCAUCAGCUACCCUGAGAAACCUAUAUAAUUCGGAGAGAGAGAAGUUGCAGUUAGACUUAACAGUAUGUAGUCACGGAAGCAGCCGUUAUCUUCAUCAAGGCAAUUCAGAUUUGAUUAUUACAGAUCUCUGUUGAAUACCAAACCAAUGGAAUAGUAGCUGUAGUUAAAUCAGGGGAUUGUCAUUUCUGUCAGAUGAUUAGGGCUGGCUUGGAAGAGAUAUGAACAGGCUGCGCUGUGUAAAUACUCUCAGC